UUGGAGAAGAAAAGCCCAUGGCCCAUUGCAGAUUGCUCAACCAGGCCACACGAUCGCAUCUCUUUGCACAGAUCGGCACGCACGCACGACCCUGCCGACGCCGACGCUUCGCACUCGUAGUCGUGUCGUAUCCCAG
rnacentral:rRNA from 1 species